rnacentral:misc_RNA from 1 species
AGCAAAGUUAGUGUGCCCUCCUUAAAAGGUCAGCAACAAAAUUACAUGAUUGUACAUAUAAUCAAACGGAAGAGAGCACAUUAAUGUACUGCUUACAAAAAUCUGUGUCUCCACCAAAGACUCCCCGUGGCAAGCAUCCAGUCAAAAUGUCAUGCCAGCAUCUUGAACUCAUACAUUGUGUCCCCGGAUCCAAGUUCAAAACAGUGUCAAAUCCACAGGUGAGUGCAUUCCUCUUAUAGUGGCUUCAAAUAAUCCAGAAGCAUGUUUUCUUAUCAUUAAGCCUCUUCGACUAAUCAGCCUCAAACUUAAACUUGAACAACUUUUUGUAGAAACCUAUUCGGCUGCAACAGAUUCCACUCUCAUCUCUCCAAUAUCCUUCAACCCGAAAUGAGGCUCAGAUGGGAAUACAAACACUGUAGAAGCUGCCACUGAAGGUUGAAAGCCAGCUGAGUAUCGUACUGAGGUCAAUGUAAUUUUAGGAAGCUGCUGAAAACCUGAGGCAAGUGGUACAAGCUUAUAACUAAGUAUGUGCUCAGACUUUGGCAAAAUAAAAG